rnacentral:rRNA from 1 species
AUUGAACGCUGGCGGCAGGCCUAACACAUGCAAGUCGAGCGAGCGGCGGACGGGUGAGUAAUGUAUGGGGACUGCCCGAUAGAGGGGGAUAACUACUGGAAACGGUGGCUAAUACCGCAUACUAUCGGAUAACCCAUAUGGGAUUAGCUAGUAGGUGGGGUAAAGGCUCACCUAGGCGACGAUCUCUAGCUGGUCUGAGAGGAUGAUCAGCCACACUGGGACUGAGACACGGCCCAGACUCCUACGGAGGCAGCAGUGGGGAAUAUUGGACAAUGGACGAAAGUCUGAUGGAGCAACGCCGCGUGUAUGAAGAAGGUCUUAGGGUCGUAAAGUACUUUCAUCGGGGAAGCGGUACCUGACGAAGAAGCACCGGCUAACUCCGUGCCAGCAGCCGCGGUAAUAC